GGCAGCGGCGAUAGCACGUUGAAUGCACCAGUUGCCGAAGGGUCACUGAAGUUAAUCAACGUUUCACGUGGUUCGCAUUCGGAUGGGUGACCAUCAACUCCAGUGUGGACCCAGCUU
rnacentral:rRNA from 1 species